GAACCGGUUUGGUGGGAUGUAGAGGACCGUGGCAUGGUGGCAUUUGGGGUAUGAUGGGACAUUGGGGACCAGGGCAUGGUGGCAUCUGGUGGCAUAUAAGGCAUGGUGGGACAUGGAGGACCAUGGCAUGGUGGCAUUUGGGGUAUGGUGGGACAUGGAGGACCAUGGCAUGGUGGCAUUUGGGGUAUGGUGGGACAUGGAGGACCAUGAUAUGUUGGCUCCUGGUGGCAUUUGGGGUAUGGUGGGGCAUGGAAAGCCAUGGCAUGGUGGCAUUUGGGGUAUGGUGGGACAUGGAGAGCCAUGGGAUGGUGGCAUUUGGGGUAUGGUGGGACAUGGAGGACCAUGGCAUGGUGGCUCCUGGUGGCAUCUGGGGUAUGGUGGGACAUGGAGGACCAUGGUAUGGUGGCACUUGGUGGCACAUAGGGUAUGGUGGGGCAUGGAGGACCAUGGGAUGGUGGCACCUGGUGGCAUAUAAGGCAUGGUGGGACAUGGAGAGCCAUGGGAUGGUGGCAUUUGGGGUAUGGUGGGACAUGGUGGGGCAUGGAGGACCAUGGUAUGGUGGCACCUGGUGGCAUAUAAGGCAUGGUGGGACAUGGAGGACCAUGGCAUGGUGGCAUUUGGGGUAUGGUGGGACAUUGAGGACCAUGGCAUGGUGGCAUUUGGGGCAUGGUGGGGCAUGGAGAGCCAUGGGAUGGUGGCACCUGGUGGCACAUAGGGUAUGGUGGGACAUGGAGGACCAUGGGAUGGUGGCAUCUGGUGGCGUAUAAGGCAGGGUGGGACAUGGAGAGCCAUGGCAUGGUGGCAUCUGGUGGCAUUUAGGGUAUGGUGGGACAUGGAAAGCCAUGGCAUGGUGGCAUUUGGGGUAUGGUGGGACAUGGAGGACCAUGGGAUGGUGGCACCUGGUGGUACCUGGAGUAUGGUCCCAUCCCCACGAUCCCAUUGCCCAGAUCCUAUCCCUCAGAUCCCAUCCCCCGGUUCCCAUCCCAAAUCCCAUCCCCAUUAUCCCACCAUGAUCCCAUCCCCACAAUCCCACCCCCAUGAUCCCACCCCCAUGAUCCCACCCCCCGAUCCAUCCUCGAUCCCAUACCAUGUCCACACCUGACCCCCACACUCCACGCCCAACCACCCAUCCAU
rnacentral:lncRNA from 7 species